rnacentral:rRNA from 1 species
AACGAACGCUGGCGGCAGGCUUAACACAUGCAAGUCGAACGAGAUCUUCGGAUCUAGUGGCAGACGGGUGAGGAACACGUGGGAACAUCCCUUUCAGUUCGGAAUAACGUUGGGAAACUAACGCUAAUACCGGAUACGUCCUUCGGGAGAAAGAUUUAUCGCUGAAAGAUUGGCCCGCGUCUGAUUAGCUAGUUGGUGAGGUAAUGGCUCACCAAGGCUACGAUCAGUAGCUGAUAUGAGAGGAUGGUCAGCCACAUUGGGACUGAGACACGGCCCAAACUCCUACGGGAGGCAGCAGUGGGGAAUAUUGGACAAUGGGCGCAAGCCUGAUCCAGCCAUGCCGCGUGAGUGAUGACGGCCUUCGGGUUGUAGAGCUCUUUUGUCCGGGAAGAUAAUGACUGUACCGGAAGAAUAAGCCCCGGCAAACUUCGUGCCAGCCGCCGCAGUAA